UCCGGGUUGAUCCUGCCGACCCUGACUGCUAUCGGAUUGGUACUAAGCCAUGCGAGUCAUUGUAGCAAUACAAGGCGGACGGCUCAGUAACACGUAGUCAACCUAACUCGUGGACGUGGAUAACCUCGGGAAACUGAGAAUAAACCACGAUAGAUCAUAGUGCCUGGAAUGGCUUAUGGUCCAAACAGUUUACUGCCAUGGGAUGGGACUGCGGCCUAUCAGCUUGUUGGUGAGGUAAUGGCCCACCAAGGCGAUUACAGGUACGGGCUCUGAGAGGAGAAGCCCGGAGAUGGGUACUGAGACACGGACCCAGGCCCUAUGGGGCGCAGCAGGCGAGAAACCUUAGCAAUGUGCGAAAGCACGACUGGGUCAGUCCGAGUGAUUCCUGAUAAAGGAGUCUUUUGCUUGUCCUAAAAGCACAGGUGAAUAAGGGGUGGGCAAGUCUGGUGUCAGCCGCCGCGGUAAUACCAGCACCUCGAGUGGUCAGGACGUUUAUUGGGCCUAAAGCAUCCGUAGCCGGCUCUGCAAGUCUUCGGUUAAAUCCACCUGCUCAACAGAUGGGCUGCUGGAGAUACUACAGAGCUAGGGAGUGGGAGAGGCAGACGGUAUUCAGUGGGUAGGGGUAAAAUCCUCUGAUCCAUUGAGGACCACCAGUGGCGAAGGCGGUCUGCCAGAACACGUUCGACGGUGAGGGAUGAAAGCUGGGGGAGCAAACCGGAUUAGAUACCCGGGUAGUCCCAGCUGUAAACGAUGCAAACUCGGUGAUGCAUUGGCUUAUGGCCAAUGCAGUGCCGCAGGGAAGCCGUUAAGUUUGCCGCCUGGGAAGUACGGACGCAAGUCUGAAACUUAAAGGAAUUGGGCGGGGGAGCA
rnacentral:rRNA from 1 species